CCGGAGAAUGGAUUGCUUGUGUCCCUGUUCCCCGGUAGCCAGCUCCAUUGUCCAUAAGUGGCUCCAGAAACCUUGAUUUCCGACCAGAGAGAAGACAGCUAGUGAACAGCACUCACCGCCAACUCUGGGGCUACUCUUUUCUGAUUGAAUAUGGAAAUUUGAUCGUCGCCUAUGUCUCUAGAGUGUGAUACUCCUUUGUACGGCAGCGGAUCGCAACCCAAAAAUUCUCUUCCGAGCAGACAAACCAUCACGCCACGCCUAGUCGUCGCCCGUGGAAAGCGAAAUCAAGUUGCCAAGUUUUACGACUUACACGAUUCCAGUGACCAAGCCAUCAAGCCAGCUACCAAAAUCACGGUUGGGGGGAGAUGAAUCAUUUCCCCCCUGAUAACGUUACAACUGUGUUGAGACAUUAAUCAAACCCGAGUUCACGCCUAACCAGAGAGCCAGGCCACCAGCAUGCGUCUUUCUGAAAGCAAA